rnacentral:lncRNA from 1 species
UUAGAAUUAUUUCACAGACUCGUUAAAGCUUCCAUUCACUCAACAGAUAUUUACUGACCACAUGCCACAUGCCAGGCACAGUGCUGUACAUCAGAAUACAAACAUAGUGAUUUUUCCCUUUUUGUGUGGAGCUUACAUUCUGGGGUAUGUUCAAACAAUGGUAAUAAUAAUGAGAGAUAACACUUAUGGAGCACUGACUAUGUGCAGGCACUCUUUCUGGUGCUUUCAUUUUCCUCAUACUUAUUCAUAUAAUGCUAGCUCUUAGAUAGCUACUCUUAAUGAUCCUCAUUUUACAGAUGAGGAAACUGGGUCAUGGAGGUAAAUGUACCUGUCCAAAGUCAAGCAGCAAUAAAUGAAAGAGACCACUCAGGUCUGUCAGUCUCAAGCAUAUUACUUUCUCUCACACCAUCUGAUCUUUAACCUUAUUUAUUAAACAUGACUCAUAAAAUAGAUGAAAAUAGGUGCUCUGAUGGAGGGUGAAUUAACAUGUGAUACAAACACAGAGGUAAGUAUUGAAUUACAGCUUAGUCUGGGGUAUGUUAAAUUGCGGGCAGUUUCCAAUAAAGCCUCAAGAAGGAGUUGAGCUCUAAGUGAUGAAUAAAUGGGAAGGGUUUAUAGUAGUAUUCUAACCUGAAGUAACAGCAACAGGAAAGGCCUAGAGGAGUGUAGGUACAAGUUUGUGUAACAGCCACUCACCACGGUGACUAGAGCCAGAGUGCACUAGAAUGGGUGGUAGAUGAGGAUGAAGGUUGCUAGACAGUAAGGAUUGGAUUUUCUGUUCUUCACUUAGUAUGUCAAAGCUUGUUGUGGCCCCACAGGGCAGGAAUGGCAGCGUCAGAAUAGAAGCUAUUUAUUCAGAGGGUUUAUGUAUGUGUAUGCGUGCCAGCACACGUGUGUUUGGGGAGGCAUAAUCCAAACACUUUUGCCAGGAAGAGGUGAGUCAGCUGCUUUAUUUUCUGAGAGCUCUACUAAAAUAGUUGGGCUAAAACAUAGGUGUAAUCCUAGACUUCAAUCAUCAAGUUGAAGACUAUGAUGGUUGCAUUUUUCAGUGCGGCAUUGGAAAGGGAAAAGAUUUAUAUAGGGUUGCCAUCUGCAGUUACAAUUGAAAUUCUUCCUUAAAUUCUUGAUGGUAAUGAAUACUGUUACAUUCCACAGAACAUUACAUUCAGUAAUCUUAUGCCCUGGAAUUCCUUCAGAGGCUACUGUCUUCACAUGUGGGGGUUACUCACCUCUGAAAUUGUCUACAUCCCAGGUGCUUUCUUCAGUACUGAAGUAGGUAACUCAGGGCCACGAAUUUAGUCAAACUAGGCUAAAGAGAUCAAUGUUUACACAAAUGAAUGUGCAUGUUCUAGACGGUAGAAAUGUGUGGUUUGUAUGCUGAUCCUUUUUUCGGGGAGAGUGUUGUAGAAACCAGCACUGUCUUCCAAGCUGCUACAAAGGUAUGAUUAAGGCCAGACCUGAUGGGGCCCUUCACCCUGGUCUUUAACCUUCCCCAGAAGGGCUCCUGUUCCUUGUCUUAGAUAGGUGCUUCCCAGGGGGCAAAUUGAGAUAAGAUCUUUAAGCUCUCUAGUUAUAAACAAAAACAAACAAUUUGGUACAUUUUCCCCCUGAAAUUCAGCUCACAGUUUGUCGCGAGUUGAACCUCCUACUACUCCCUCCAUCUAAUAAAGAAAAGCAACAUUGAAUGGCAGCAUCUUAUCUCUGAAAUGACAUCCUGAUCCCAUUCCACAGCAUUGAAACCCUUAACAAGUUGGUCGCUACUUGGCUCUCUAUCUUCAUCUUUAUUCCCCAGUACAUCCUUCCAUGAUAUCUUCUUCCUGGCCAUAUUGAGCUACACUUCUUGUCUCAGCUAUUUCUAUUCUACAAGUUUCUAAAAAGUUCUAGUUAUUGUUAAAUGAAUAACAAAAAGCUGUCUCUGUGACUGUGACAUAUGGCAUGUUUUCCGCUCUUUAAGUAUAAUGUAAAAAAGAUGAGAUCAUGCUCUCCAUUCUGAACUU